GAUGAACGCUGGCGGCGUGCCUAAUACAUGCAAGUCGAACGCUGGAAUUCUAGCUUGCUAGAUUGAAGGAGUGGCGAACGGGUGAGUAAUACAUAAGCAACCUACCCACGAAGGCUGGGAUAAUCUCUGGAAACGGGGACUAAUACCGGAUAGGUAAUCGGAAGGCAUCUUCUGAUUAUUAAAGGUUAAAAACACUGGUGGAUGGGCUUAUGGCGCAUUAGUUAGUUGGUCAGGUAACGGCCCACCAAGACGAUGAUGCGUAGCCGGCCUGAGAGGGUGAACGGCCACAUUGGGACUGGGACACGGCCCAGGCUCCUACGGCAGGCAGCAGUAGGGAAUUUUCGGCAAUGGGGGAAACCCUGACCGAGCAACGCCGCGUGAGUGAUGACGGCCUUCGGGGUGUAAAGCUCUGUUGUAAGGGAAGAACGGUAGAUAGAGAAUAUCUAAAUGACGGUACCUUACCAGAAAGCCACGGCUAACUACGUG
rnacentral:rRNA from 1 species